GCCUGAUCCAGCCAUGCCGCGUGCAGGAUGACGGUCCUAUGGAUUGUAAACUGCUUUUAUACGAGAAGAAACACUGCUUCGUGAAGCAGCUUGACGGUAUCGUAAGAAUAAGGAUCGGCUAACUCCGUGCCAGCAGCCGCGGUAAUACGGAGGAUCCAAGCGUUAUCCGGAAUCAUUGGGUUUAAAGGGUCCGUAGGCGGUUUAAUAAGUCAGUGGUGAAAGCCCAUCGCUCAACGGUGGAACGGCCAUUGAUACUGUUAAACUUGAAUUAUUAGGAAGUAACUAGAAUAUGUAGUGUAGCGGUGAAAUGCUUAGAGAUUACAUGGAAUACCAAUUGCGAAGGCAGGUUACUACUAAUGGAUUGACGCUGAUGGACGAAAGCGUGGGUAGCGAACAGGAUUAGAUACCCUGGUAGUCCACGCCGUAGACGAUGGAUACUAGCUGUUGGAAGCAAUUUCAGUGGCUAAGCGAAAGUGAUAAGUAUCCCACCUGGGGAGUACGUUCGCAAGAAUGAAACUCAGAGGAAUUGACGGGGGCCCGCACAAGCGGUGGAGCAUGUGGUUUAAUUCGAUGAUACGCGAGGAACCUUACCAAGGCUUAAAUGUAGAUUGACCGAUUUGGAAACAGAUCUGUCGC
rnacentral:rRNA from 1 species